AUAUAUAUAUAUGUUUUGCAGAAAAAAAGAAGUUUCUUGGAUGGCAACCACGAGGACGACGACGGCUUAAGCCAUUAAACUCAACCAAAACGGAAGGCGAAACGAGCAGUGAAAGAAUACCAACGGAGUGAGCCCCAGUCUUCCUCUAAAUGCUGCAGUGAAAGUUAACACCAUUUACACAAGGAUCUCCCGGGAUACGAUGAUGAGCACCACGCCGCAGAAAACGUCAAAACACAAAAGGAAGAAGCACCAAGACGAUCCGAUGGAGCAUUGUGAACGCUGGAGAACCAAACUUUGAAUUGACUCUCCACCAUGUGACGAAUCGUGUACUACGUACGUUCCCUGUGUGACCUAAACAUCGUGAAAUGACGAUCGAGCAUAUGAUUCUGGA
rnacentral:lncRNA from 1 species